rnacentral:rRNA from 1 species
GAUCAACGCUGGCGGCGCGCUUAACACAUGCAAGUCGAACGAGAAAGGGAGCAAUCCUGAGUAAAGUGGCGUACUGGUGAGUAACACGUGGAUAUCUACCUCUUGGUGGGGAAUAACCUGGGGAAACCUGGGCUAAUACCGCAUAAGUUCGUGAGAAGAAAGGCGCAAGUCGCCGAGAGAGGAGUCCGCGGUCGAUUAGGUAGUUGGCGGGGUAAAAGCCCACCAAGCCGAAGAUCGAUAGCCGGCCUGAGAGGGCACACGGCCACACUGGCACUGAAACACGGGCCAGACUCCUACGGGAGGCAGCAGUGGGGAAUCUUGCACAAUGGGGGAAACCCUGAUGCAGCGACGCCGCGUGAGCGAUGAAGCCCUUCGGGGUGUAAAGCUCUUUCGGCAGGAACGAUAAUGACGGUACCUGCAGAAGAAGCUGCGGCUAACUACGUGCCAGCAGCCGCGGUAAU